rnacentral:lncRNA from 1 species
UUAUGAUUAUGGAUUUUGUUGGGAUUAUAGUGCAUCAUUUUGCUCAUGAAGCUAUCAUUUUCAAAUUCAAUUUCUUAUUAGAGAUGUUAUUUGAUAAUUUUGGUUAUUUACUUUCCUAUUAAUGGAGAUGUUGUAUGUUUAAUUGCUAUAGAGUGAAUUUGAGGGUGAAAUUGAAGAACCAACAGAGAAAGUUGUGUUGGUGGAGAGGAAGGAGAGUUCCUGAUUAUUCAUUUCACAUGUCAUGUGGCAAAGGUUAUUAGACUUUUCUUUAUGGAAACAAUUGUUACUAGAAGUUCACAAAUUUCUGAAUUACUAUUCUUAGUCUUUACUCAGACGAUUCCAAUAUGAUCAGUAAUGAAGAGUCAACACAUUUUUUCCCUUAACAAAUUUGUGUCUACCAAUUGUAUAGAAAAUGUUAGAUAGAUAAUGUUCAUAGUUGCAUUGGUAUUAUAGAAUUUUAGCUCACAGAUUAUUGAUGAGGCAAAGAAGGAAGAUGCAUGUGUUGAACAAGCACAAUAUGUAAAUGAUUUUGGAAAAUAUUUGAUAGAGAUGAUUUCAGAAAUGACAUUUUCG